rnacentral:rRNA from 1 species
UACGUAGGGUGCAAGCGUUGUCCGGAAUUAUUGGGCGUAAAGAGCUCGUAGGCGGUCUGUUACGUCUGCUGUGAAAACCCAGGGCUUAACCCUGGGCUUGCAGUGGAUACGGGCAGACUAGAGGCAGGUAGGGGAGAAUGGAAUUCCCGGUGUAGCGGUGAAAUGCGCAGAUAUCGGGAGGAACACCGGUGGCGAAGGCGGUUCUCUGGGCCUGACCCUGACGCUGAGGAGCGAAGCGUGGGGAGCGAACAG